AGAAAAGCAUUGUGGGAUCGCUGUGCGCCCUUUCUCCGCUCUCACGUGGCGCGCAGCAAGGCGGUGCUGGUGGCUUUGGCCUGGCGGGUGGUUAUGGCGUGGGAAUCCCAAGUGUCCGCGGCGGCUUUGGGCCGCUGCGAUCCCUUCCCGGCAGGUGGGGAGCGGACACGGUGGCCGUGUGAGGAGCACGGCCCGCUGGACCCCAUGGGAAAUGGGUCGGUGUGAGCCGAGCGCUGUCUGUGAUGUGGAUCUUUGCCGUCCGCCCAGCCGCACCACUGGGCGAAAGUGGAGUGGCGAUCGGAGUCGAGAGGUAGGUGUUUGAAGCUGACCGACACUUGCGGAACGACACGCGGGAGCGCAAAGGUGGCUCCAGGUAGGAAGGUUGCAAGGCACAAGUGUGGGGGUUUCUGAGCUGGGGUGCCAUCCGACUCAUUAGUCUUAAUUGGUUCAUUUGCAUUGCUACUGCUUACCUGAGGGUAGGCCAGAAGGCAGCUGCAGAGAAGAUGUCCUCUGCCUUGGCUCACUUUUAUGGGCGUUGGGCUGUAUUUUCUGAAUACGUAGUAUUGAACAGAAGUGGUGAAUGCACAUUGUGGUGGCUUUGUGAAUCUCUCAUCUGUGUAUCAGCUAGAAAAGUUUUUGUGUCACAAAUUGGGGGAGUUUUACUAAUGCUAAAGAUUGGUGGGGAUUGGGCUGGAGAGAUGGCUCACAACCAUCUGUAAUGAGGUCUGGCGCCUUCAGGCAUACAUGCAGGCAGAACUUAAUAAAUAUUUUAAAAAGAAAUUAAUGGGGAUUUAUGUGACAGAAUACUUAGGACAAAUGAGUAACGUGGUCUUGUCUUUUUUUUUCUUUAGGGUGACCUUGAUCGUUUGGAAAUGUGAUCUUCAGAAACGUGGAUGACUUGAAUUUUCUAAGAGCUGUGUCAAGGCACUGCGUAGGGGCACAUUUUUGUAACAAAGCUAUGAAUAAAUAUUUAAUAUGCUGCUCUGA